rnacentral:rRNA from 1 species
UACGUAGGGGCCGAGCGUUGUCCGGAGUUAUUGGGCGUAAAGCGCGCGCAGGCGGCCUCGCGCGCCCGACGUGAAAGCCCCCGGCUUAACCGGGGAGGGUCGUUGGGGACGGCGGGGCUUGAGGGCGGGAGAGGUCGGUGGAAUUCCCGGUGUAGUGGUGAAAUGCGUAGAGAUCGGGAGGAACACCUGUGGCGGAGGCGGCCGACUGGGCCGACCCUGACGCUGAGGCGCGAAGGCGUGGGGAGCGAACGGG